GUCUUUAACAUAGUUUGGUCAGUAGAGCAUUAGACUCUUCAUCACAGGGUCAUGGGUUCGAGCCCCACAAUUGGGCAAAAGACU